rnacentral:rRNA from 1 species
CAGCAGCCGCGGGAAUACGUAGGGUGCAAGCGUUAAUCGGAAUUACUGGGCGUAAAGCGUGCGCAGGCGGUUCGUUAAGACAGAUGUGAAAUCCCCGGGCUUAACCUGGGAACUGCAUUUGUGACUGGCGGGCUAGAGUAUGGCAGAGGGGGGUAGAAUUCCACGUGUAGCAGUGAAAUGCGUAGAGAUGUGGAGGAAUACCGAUGGCGAAGGCAGCCCCCUGGGCCAAUACUGACGCUCAUGCACGAAAGCGUGGGGAGCAAACAGGAUUAGAGACCCCUGUAGUCCCUGUCUCUUAUAC